rnacentral:rRNA from 1 species
ACCCGCUGAACUUAAGCAUAUCAAUAAGCGGAGGAAAAGAAACCAACAGGGAUUGCCUCAGUAACGGCGAGUGAAGCGGCAACAGCUCAAAUUUGAAAUCUGGCUCCUUCGGGGUCCGAGUUGUAAUUUGUAGAGGGUGCUUCGGCUUACGGCGCGGUCUAAGUUCCUUGGAACAGGACGUCACAGAGGGUGAGAAUCCCGUACGUGGCCGCGCUCUCCGCCAUGUGAAGCCCCUUCGACGAGUCGAGUUGUUUGGGAAUGCAGCUCUAAAUGGGAGGUAAAUUUCUUCUAAAGCUAAAUAUCAGCCAGAGACCGAUAGCGCACAAGUAGAGUGAUCGAAAGAUGAAAAGCACUUUGGAAAGAGAGUUAAAAAGUACGUGAAAUUGUUGAAAGGGAAGCGCUUGCGACCAGACUUGACCGCGGAUGCUCAGCCGGCCCUCCGGCCGGUGUACUCUUCCGCGGUCAGGCCAGCAUCAGUUUGGGCGGCCGGAUAAAGGCCCCGGGAAUGUGGCUCCCUUCGGGGAGUGUUAUAGCCCGGGGUGCAAUGCGGCCCGCCCGGACUGAGGACCGCGCUUCGGCUAGGAUGCUGGCGUAAUGGUCGU